GACUCUCUGGUCUGUACUGACGCUGAGGAGCGAAAGCGUGGGGAGCGAACAGGAUUAGAUACCCUGGUAGUCCACGCCGUAAACGAUGAGUGCUAAGUGUUAGGGGGUUUCCGCCCCUUAGUGCUGCGCUAACGCAUUAAGCACUCCGCCUGGGGAGUACGGUCGCAAGACUGAAACUCAAAGGAAUUGACGGGGGCCCGCACAAGCGGUGGAGCAUGUGGUUUAAUUCGAAGCAACGCGAAGAACCUUACCAGUCUUGACAUCCUCUGACAACCCUAGAGAUAGGGCUUUCCCUUCGGGGACAGAGUGACAGGUGGUGCAUGGUUGUCGUCAGCUCGUGUCGUGAGAUGUUGGGUUAAGUCCCGCAACGAGCGCAACCCUGAUCUUAGUUGCCAGCAUUCAGUUGGGCACUCUAAGGUGACUGCCGGUGACAAACCGGAGGAAGGUGGGGAUGACGUCAAAUCAUCAUGCCCCUUAUGACCUGGGCUACACACGUGCUACAAUGGACGAACAAAGGGCUGCAAGACCGCAAGGUUUAGCCAAUCCCAUAAAUCUGUUCUCAGUUCGGAUCGCAGUCUGCAACUCGACUGCGUGAAGCUGGAAUCGCUAGUAAUCGCGGAUCAGCAUGCCGCGGUAAUACGUUCCCGGGCCUUGCACACACCGGCCCGU
rnacentral:rRNA from 1 species